AUGCUUCCAGCCACAGAGGAGGAGAGCAGCUGGCAGCCAGAAGCAUCCAUUCCAAGUGAGAGACAUCGAAGGGAACAAGGCUUAACCGCCUUGUCUUUGAACAGCACUAAAUGAUUCAGCAAAAGGGAUGAGAGGAAACCUUUGGCCAUGUCACGGGUUCACAGCCAUCUGUAUAUGUUCCUAUAGUCCUGCUUUGUACCUCCAGCCUAAAUGAUGGGGAGGUCGUUUGAAGAUGAGACUGACCCUUCACUACAUGUGCUGCUUCCAACCCCAGAUUCCAUCAGGCUGCACUUCUGAGAUUCAGUGAACUCCCACUCAUCCUUCAAAACCCUAUCUCAAUGUCGCUGCCAUAGCAAAGCCUUCCCUGGCCCCCUCGGGUAGGGAGGGUCUCUCUGCCCACUGGCAGGCCAAGAAGGCCAAGCUCUGCCCUCUGAGAAUCCAUCAGUGUCCCAAGCUGACUUUCCCUAGCCUCGUAUCCCUUCAUUCCAUGAAAGGGGAACUUAGGGUGGAGUGGAAAUUUUGAUCAUCUAAAGGAACAAUAAUUGCUUUCAUUCAUUCAUUUAAACAAUAUGUAUUGAGCACCUACCAAGGACCAGGCCUUGUGCUAAGUGCCCCCACAGAGGUCACAAUAGUCAUAUACUACAAACAAAUACAGCAUCACAAAGGUUGGCGCAUGAAGAGACAGCAGCUAAGGGCAUGGUCCUGGAGCCAGAAUGCCUGGAUUUGAAUCACAGCUCUACUACUUCCCAGCAGCUUGUUGAGCUUAGCCAAGUCUCUAAGCCCCUCUGAGCCUCAGCUUUAUCACCUGUAAAAUAGGGAUAAAAGCAGCAUCUGCCCUAUUCAUCUGUUCACAGGAAUACAUGGCCUAUGGAGGGAAAGUACCCAGGCUCCUGAGUGGGCCCUCCUGGCCCACGGCAGAAGCCGUGUGCAUGUCUGUUCAACAGAUACCUUUGGUGGCCUGUAUGUACCAGGCGCUUCUAUUCUCUGCUGGUCAAGGAAGGCUCACGGUGGAAUAGGAUUUAGCCCCGGGAGAGACAGCAGGGGCAUUCUAAAGACAUCGACUAGCUGGCAUCCUGUGCCAGGCAUCCCAACCUUUUGCGCAUCGCGGCUCACCUGGAAAAGACGUGGGGGUGAGGAAGGAGGUGCCACCUGCAUGAGGCAUGGCAGAAAAGCAUGACAUCACCUUUAUAGUGCAAAGCUUGACAGGAAGAAUAAGAUACAAAGUACUUAAAGAAGAUAAUCGA
rnacentral:lncRNA from 1 species